GACAGAGGUGCCGAGCGUUAGGCGGAAUCACUGGGCUUAAAGCGUGUGUAGGCGGGUCCGUCAGUACCUUGUGAAAUCCCACGGCUCAACCGUGGAACUGCUCGGUAUACUGCGGGUCUUGAGCUGUCUAGGGGCGACCGGAACAAACGGUGGAGCGGUGAAAUGCGUAGAUAUCAGGAGGAACACCGGUGGCGAAGGCGGGUCUCUGGGCCGAUACUGACGCUGAGGAGCGAAAGCGUGGGGAGCGAACAGG
rnacentral:rRNA from 1 species